UCAUAGAAUUUUUUCAAAUUCAUGAUGUCGUAAGGGAAAAUAAUGAUAAUACCUUACUAUGAGUGUCGUCCAAAUCUGGUGCCAGAAGACUCGGUAAGACCAGAGACGCAAACGUUAAUCAUCAUAAACAGGCGUAAAGGGUUUGUAGGCAGCUUUUAUAAAAAUAUCAAAAACUAAACUAAAAGCUAGAAUCAAAAAGAGGUUAUAGUGUAUAACGCCUAGAGGAGGGCUGAUAUCCAUAGAUCCUAGGCAGAAUACUCAGGGCGAAGGCCACUCUCCACUAAUGAUUGACGCUGAGAAACGAAGGUUAGGGUAGGAAAUAGGAUUAGAUACCCCGGUACUCCUUUCUGUAAACGAUGAAUGGUAGUCAUUAGUUAAAUUAAAGUAACUAGAGGCGAAGUUAACACAAUAACCAUUCCGCCUUGUGAGUACUACUGCAAAGUAGAAAACAAAAAAAUUAGUCGGUCUCGAAGCAAACGGAGUGAAGCAUGUUAUUUA
rnacentral:rRNA from 1 species